rnacentral:rRNA from 1 species
GGUACUCUAUUCUAUAGAGUUCUGGUUUAGUUUUAGUCAUACUUCCAAGAAAAGCUUUUGUUAUCAUUAAAUUAAAUCAACCUGUACCCUAAACUGACACAAGUAGGUAGGUAGAGAAUACUAAGGGGCGCGAGAUAACUCUCUCUAAGGAACUCGGCAAAAUGGCCCCGUAACUUCGGGAGAAGGGGUGCCUACAUUAUGUAGGCCGCAGUGACCAGGCCCAGGCGACUGUUUAUCAAAAAUACAGGUCUCCGCAAAGUCGUAAGACAAUGUAUGGGGGCUGACGUCUGCCCAGUGCCGGAAGGUAAAAGAAGUUGGUUAUUCUUCUCUGAAGAAAAAGCUGACGACUGAAGCCCCGGUGAACGGCGGCUGUAACACUGACAGUCCUAAGGUAGCGAAAUUCCUUGUCGAGUAAGUUUCGACCCGCACGAAAGACGUAACGAUCUGGGCACUGUCUCGGAGAGAGACUCGGUGAAAUAGAAAUGUCUGUGAAGAUGCGGACUACUUAUACCAGGACAGAAAGACCCUAUGAAGCUUGACUGUAAUUUGGAAUUGGGUUCGGGCUUUUUUUGCGCAGUCUAGGUGGGAGGCGUUGAUAUUAAGUUUUCGGACUUAAUGGAGCCAUCAGUGAGAGACCACUCUAAAAGAGCUAGAAUUCUAAUAGGACUCCUUGAAUCAGGAUCCUUGACAGUUUCAGAUGGACAGUUUGACUGGGGCGGUGACCUCCCAAAAGGUAACGGAGGUGUGCAAAGGUUCCCUCAAGCUGGACGGAAAUCAGCUGUAGAGUGCAAGGGUAUAAGGGAGCUUGACUGCAAGACCAACAAGUCGAGCAGAGGCGAAAGCCGGCCUUAGUGAUCCGACGGUUCCGAGUGGAAGGGCCGUCGCUCAACGGAUAAAAGUUACUCUAAGGAUAACAGGCUGAUCUCCCCCAAGAGUUCACAUCGACGGGGAGGUUUGGCACCUCGAUGUCGUUUCAUCGCAACCUGGGGCUGGAGUAGGUCCCAAGGGUUGGGCUGUUCGCCCAUAAAAGCGGUACGUGAGAUGGGUUCAGAACGUCGCGGGACAGUUCGGUCCAUAUCCGGUAUAAGCGUAAGAGCAUUGAGAGGAUCUCAACAUUGUACGAGAGGACCCGAAGGGACGUACCGAUGGUGUACCAGUUCUUAUGCCAAUAGGAAACGCUGGGUAGCUAUGUACGGAGUGGAUAAUCGCUGAAAGCAUUUAAGUGAGAAGCCCACCUCAAGAUGAAUGCUCUCUAUCAGAUCGCGGCAAGACAAGCCGAUAGAUUGGCAUCAAGUGUAAGAUUAGUAAUAAUUUCAGCUGAGAUGUACAAAGGAUCGG